rnacentral:lncRNA from 1 species
UGAGUGGUUUUUUUUUUGUGGAAAUGAAUCAUCUCUCAGGUUUAACAUUCAAACAAAGACUUUAAUAUACAUUCCAAGUAACUGCCUAACUCCAAUAAAUCUUUGAGUUUACACAAUAGUCUGUGACUUUUAAACUUCUAAGUGGAUCUGCUGGGCCCACAAGAGAUGGCCUUCUGCUCAGGAUUCGGCUGGAAUCCACGGAGCUGGUGGCAGGGAGUCACUGAGCCCUGGGCCGGGAGCAGCCCACCCAGAGCCCUGCACCCCAGCACGCCCAGGGGAGCCCCGGCUGCCGUGGGGAGCUCACAGGGCGCUCCAGACCGCGAGGCAUCUUCCAAGCAUGGACAGCCACCGAGCAGCACCGGGAAAAUGGAAGCUGAGGAGGCUUCGGGUGUCAGCUCGGCCAGGGCAGCUUGGUGGGGAAGGCGCAUCGCUCAUGCGGAGAAGCGGCGCAGCUGGAUGAGCUCGCACGCACGCUGCGAAGCAGACGCCGAACACACUUGUGGCAUCAGUGAAUGUGGCCCACCUCUUUCCUAAAUCUUGUUUUAAAACUCUUCCGGGUUGGUCCUGCUGUUUCUGUGCGGCUGCGUCUCCUUUGCUGGGGACUGAUGGCGCGUGGGUGGCCCUGGUGGUUUCUGCCCACUCCGUCCCCCUCCUCUGUAAGUCACCUUGAUGCCCUCUGCUCGGAGACUCCUCUCUCCCAGGGAGAAGCCCUUCCCGUUGUGGUCCUGGCAGCACCCUUCCAUCUUGCAGACUG